rnacentral:rRNA from 1 species
ACGGAAGGCAGCAGUAGGGAAUAUUGCACAAUGGGGGAAACCCUGAUGCAGCAACGCCACGUGAGGGAAGAAGCAUUUCGGUGUGUAAACCACUGUCAUGAGGGAAUAAUGCUUAAUUUCGGUUAAGUUGAAUGUACCUCGAAAGGAAGCACCGACAAGCUUCGUACCAGCAGCCGCGGUAAUACGAGGGGUGAAAGCGUUGUUCGGAAUCACUGGGCGUAAAGGGAGCGCAGGCGGAGAUGCAAGUAGUCUGUACAAUACCGGGGCCCAACCCCGGACCUGCAGUCUGGACUGUUUCUCUUGGAUAGUUCAGGGGCAAGCGGAAUUCCUGGUGUAGCGGUGGAAUGCGUAGAUAUCAGGAAGAACACCGAUGGCGAAGGCAGCUUGCUGGGGUGUUAUCGACGCUCAUGCUCGAAAGUGCGGGUAGCAAACAGGAUUAGAUACCCUGGUA